AUUCCAGCUCCAAUAGCGUAUAUUAAAGUUGUUGCAGUUAAAACGCUCGUAGUCGGAUUUCGGGGCGGGCCGACCGGUCUGCCGAUGGGUAUGCACUGGCCGGCGCGUCCUUCCACCCGGAGACCGCGCCUACUCUUAACUGAGCGGGCGCGGGAGACGGGUCUUUUACUUUGAAAAAAUCAGAGUGUUUCAAGCAGGCAGUCGCUCUUGCAUGGAUUAGCAUGGGAUAAUGAAAUAGGACUCUGGUGCUAUUUUGUUGGUUUCGAACACCGAAGUAAUGAUUAACAGGGACAGUCAGGGGCACUAAUAUUCCGUUGAGAGAGGUGAAAUUCUUAGACCAGCGGAAGAUUAACCACUGCGAAAGCGUUUGCCAGGGAUGUUUUCAUUA
rnacentral:rRNA from 1 species